rnacentral:lncRNA from 1 species
GAAAGAUCUCCCAUGCUCAUGGAUUGGCAGGAUUAAUUUAGUAAAAAUGGCCAUUUUACCAAAAGCAAUCUACAGAUUCAAUGCAAUCCCCAUCAAAAUACCAAUCCAAUUCUUCAAAGAGUUAGACAGAACAAUUUGCAAAUUCAUCUGGAAUAACAAAAAACCCAGGAUAGCUAAAGCUAUCCUCAACAAUAAAAGGACUUCAGGGGGAAUCACUAUCCCUGAACUCAAGCAGUAUUACAGAGCAAUAGUGAUAAAAACUGCAUGGUAUUGGUACAGAGACAGACAGAUAGACCAAUGGAACAGAACUGAAGACCCAGAAAUG